rnacentral:rRNA from 1 species
UCCGUAGUUUGCAGCACCUCGAGUAGCUGGGUAUAUCCUAAUUCAGAAAAUUUGGGAAAAAAUAUAUAUUUUUUACUCUGAAUUUUUAUUUAAUAUAUUUUUUAUAAAUUUAAGGCUGUGCGGCCUUUGGUUGCACCGGCUUAAUACGAAUUUGUAUAUAAGCGGAUAAUAUUACUUAUCCCUAUAUGUAUUUAAUCACUAUCUUUUUAUUUAAAGUAGAAUUUAAUUUUUAAGCAAGUAAGAUUUUAACUAUAUCGAUGAUAGGUGUAAUAAAUAAAAUUCACAUUUUCUAAUCUUCUUCGGUCUCGUUCAAUG